AGCCGAUUAGCCGUUCAAAGUCAAAGAUACAAGAACGGAGAUUUACAAUAAUUGUGCAAAUUUCAAUCCUUAUAUUUUUUCUUCCAUCCUUUUAUUUACUGAGAAAAGAGCAACGUAUUUUUAUUCUAAAUAUACUUGACUUUCACUAAAUACAAAAGUGCAGAAGUUAAAUACGAAGCCAAGAACAAAAUUAAUAUGGCAACUGCUACGACUGAAAAUAUUUCAAAUAAAGCUAACAUGCGAAGGUACGUUCUUUAUUUCGUGAUUCUUUAUUACCAUUUCAUCAAUUUGUCUUGCUAACAAGUUAUAUCUACACCUGUAGAGACGUGGCGGACAGCUGGAAGACCAAAUUAAACCUACCACCUAAAGAUAGACGUGUAAAAACUACAGUAAGUUCACAACCUUCACUUGUUGGUUGAAUGAAUUGCCACCAGUUUCAUGUAUUUUAUGCUUUGUCUACGUGCCAUUUGUGUACAUAUAUAAUCAUUUCUUGUUUUCCUGUCUUUUAUUUGUUGUUUAAGUAGUUGAAGUAUUAUUCUUUGCCAUGUACAUAAAAUACAAACACAUUAUAAAUAAUAAUAUUGCUAUUUCGACAUCAUAAAAUUUAUAUAACGUCACAGGUCCAGUGCAGUUUCAUUUUUACUGUAAAUAGGCAGUUUGAUGAUAUUUAUGUUUAAUAUCGCAGAAAUACUUCUGAGUUUCCAGGGGACCAUUUAAAGUAAGCA